rnacentral:rRNA from 1 species
GGUCAAGCGAAGAAGGGCGCAGGGCGGAUGCUUGGCACUGAGAGCCGAUGAAAGACGUGAUAAGCUGCGAUAAGCUUCGGGGAGGAGCAAAUAUCCUUUGAUCCGGAGAUCUCUGAAUGGGGAAACCCGGCUGUAUGGACUACAGUCAUCCAUAAGUGAAUCCAUAGCUUAUGGAAGGGAACCCGGGGAACUGAAACAUCUAAGUACCCGGAGGAAGAGAAAGAAACAU